AGUAGUCACGAGUUUGAUCCUGGCUCAGAACGAACGCUGGCGGCAGGCCUAACACAUGCAAGUCGAGCGAACCCUUCGGGGUUAGCGGCGGACGGGUUAGUAACGCGUGGGAAUAUACCCUUUGGUACGGAAUAGCCUCGGGAAACUGAGAGUAAUACCGUAUGUGCCCUUCGGGGAAAGAUUAUCGCCAAAGGAUUAGCCCGCGUUGGAUUAGAUAGUUGGUGGGGUAAUGGCCUACCAAGUCUACGAUCCAUAGCUGGUUUGAGAGGAUGAUCAGCAACACUGGGACUGAGACACGGCCCAGACUCCUACGGGAGGCAGCAGUGGGGAAUCUUAGACAAUGGGCGCAAGCCUGAUCUAGCCAUGCCGCGUGGACGAUGAAGGCCUUAGGGUUGUAAAGUCCUUUCAGAUGGGAAGAUAAUGACGGCACCAUCAGAAGAAGCCCCGGCUAACUCCGUG
rnacentral:rRNA from 1 species